rnacentral:rRNA from 1 species
UGGGGAAUUUUGGACAAUGGGCGAAAGCCUGAUCCAGCAAUGCCGCGUGUGUGAAGAAGGCCUUCGGGUUGUAAAGCACUUUUGUCCGGAAAGAAAUCCUUGGCUCUAAUACAGUCGGGGGUGACGGUACCGGAAGAAUAAGCACCGGCUAACUACGUGCCAGCAGCCGCGGUAAUACGUAGGGUGCAAGCGUUAAUCGGAAUUACUGGGCGUAAAGCGUGCGCAGGCGGUUUGCUAAGACCGAUGUGAAAUCCCCGGGCUCAACCUGGGAACUGCAUUGGUGACUGGCAGGCUAGAGUAUGGCAGAGGGGGGUAGAAUUCCACGUGUAGCAGUGAAAUGCGUAGAGAUGUGGAGGAAUACCGAUGGCGAAGGCAGCCCCCUGGGCCAAUACUGACGCUCAUGCACGAAAGCGUGGGGAGCAAACAGGAUUAGAUACCCUGGUAGUCCACGCCCUAAACGAUGUCAACUAGUUGUUGGGGAUUCAUUUCCUUAGUAACGUAGCUAACGCGUGAAGUUGACCGCCUGGGGAGUACGGUCGCAAGAUUAAAACUCAAAUGAAUUGACGGGGUCAUAGCUGUUUCCU